AGACAAUUGUUGCCAGGCCAUUGUAGCAACCCCUAGCACGGAAGUGCAGAUUGCGGAUAAAGUUUGUUCACUGGAAGACCUUGUUUCCUCUACUGGUGUGGUUGAGACCUCUCCUCAUACGGAGGGGGGUUCUCCUGACUCCUCAACAGAAUGGUCUCAAAGCGCUCCAACAUCAGCAGUGUACGAGCACAGCCAAAUGUCCAGCACUCUCCCUGACCAUCAACAGACUACUACAGAAAAUGAGACGAACUCAACAACACCGUGGAUAGUAGCAACCGUCACCACUUUAACAGGUAGCUUAAAAGUUUAUAUAAUUUUUCUUGGAGUAAUUUUGUUUCUUUUAAUUGUCUUAAUUUUGGUGUUCUUAUUAAAAAAGUAUUACUAUCAAUCAGACUACAUUCCAGUUAAGAACGAUGAUUCUUUAUAUGUUGAAAUGGAUACCAUAACUAGUUAAAUUAUUUCUUUUCUUGUAGUACUUCUGGUGAUAGCUCUCAUUUGUUUGGGGAAGAAAUGUUUGAGGAAUAGUAGGGGAGGGUUAAUUGAGCAUUGUCUUCCUCUACAGGAGAUUCCUACUGCCCCUAAAUAUAAGGACUAUUAGGAUAAAAGAAAUAAUUAUUAAUUUAAAUUGUAAUUUCAAUAUCACUGCUUUUAACUCUUUUUUUUCAAUAUCACUGCUUUUAACUCUUUUUUUUUUUACUUACAGUGAUAUUCUUUCUAAUAGGUGGAUUUAUUGUUUGGAGGAAAAGACAUUCUCAAAAUAUUUCAAACUCUGAAGAUGAACUCUAUAAUAAAGCCUGGUACAAUUUAAGUAGUGACAAUUUAUAAAAUUUGUAUUUUUUUUUUUAUUUUCUUCUUGUAGAGCAAUUUCAAGUUCUAAUCUUUACCAUGAUUAGUGUAUUAGUGGUUUUAAACCGUAUCCAUAGACUUUUGUUAAAUGCAAUACCAGCUAUUAGAAACUUCAUCCCCCCUGUAAGACAGCUUAUUAACCCUCCUCAACAUCAACCACCACACCAAGCAGCAGUCCAACCUAUACCACCUGCAGUACACCAGGAAGUCAUCCUACCCUUACCAGCACCUCCACUCAUUUUAAGAAGAAGCACCAGACAGUCCAUACCACCCAACAGGCUUAAUUUGUGAUUAAUUUGUGUAUUAUGUUUUUUUUUUGUUUGUUUUCAAACCAAACUUCUAUAUAAUUUGUGUAAUUAAGAUGUACCUAACACUACAGGGGGAUAACUCUGUAAAAUCAGCUAAAUGUUAAUUAUGAUAUGUAUUUAAGGGCAUUGUAAUAAGCUUCUCAAUGGUUGAAAUUAGUGUUUGUUAAACUGUUAUAUACCCAGUGUAAUUUUUAUAAAGAAAUGGUUGGUUCAAAUAUUUUGAAAUUUUUAUCAAAGGUUCAAAAUAAAUACUUUGUUAAAAUUUUAUGAAAACUCAACAAACCAAAUUUAUUUUAGGUAAGGUGUUAGAUACCACCUUAAUUAUAAAACUAUGAAUAAUACCAUUGUAAGACUAGCUUUAUGAAUCAUAUUGCUUCAUUAAGUAACUUCAUAUACAAAAAUGUUUAAAGUAUUUCUUACCUGUCCUUUAAGAUAUCUAAUCCUAUCUGCAGCAUGUCUCGGCUUUGCACACUAUUAGCUGUAUUGCACUGCUGCAUCAGUUCUCCCAAAAAUGUCUCGCUCAUUCGUAUGAGACAUCCUAUCCUAGUUUCCCUGCUUUCAUGCAACAAAGCAUGAUAUAGUGCAGAAACAUUAAAUUGCAUGCUACUGAAUGUGUUGAUGGGUUGCUGACAAUACCAAUUCUUUAUUUCUUCAAACAACUCAGGUUGUAUUGAACACUUAUAACAUGGGAAAAAAUGACUCCCCACUACUGGUAUAUGUUGAGAUACAAAAUUAGUCAAUUGAGAAAGAAAGUUACUGAUUGAAGCACGAUGAUCCAUCAUAAAGUUUUCUAAAUAGAAUGAAAGUAUAACAUUUUUCCUAAAUAUUAAAGGACUUAUUCUUCUCUCUUGGUUAUGAUAAGAUUCAUUAAAUAAAGUUGGGUUGAUAAAUUUAAUUCAUUUAGACUUAACUGAGAUGCCAUUUUAGGAUUAAUUUAUAUAUGACUAAGCAUCCAUUGUGAUAACAAAGGAGAUAUUAGCAUUUCUAUGCUAUAUUAUCUUAAGAAGUUUAUUGAGGGGGGCUUUUUUUUUUUAUUAUUGAAGGUUUUAACAAAGGAGAGUGAUAAUUUUCCAUACAUAAGAAAGACUCAACAUCCUGUGUUUGACAUGAUUAUAAAUUAUGGAUAAAUUGAUACAUUUUUCGCUUAAUUUCUCUCUUUAAAUUUAUUUUUAUGAUGAAAAUAGGGAAUAAGUCAGAUUUUUGAAAUGAUGUUACUUUAAAGGGUGUUGUUUAUAUUAUACAUAUCUAGAAGUUUUGUAUAUAUGUUUACACAAGUCUGUUUUGUUAUGUUAAGAAGAAGUUUAACUCAAAUUAGAAGUAAUAUAUGUUUAUCUGUCUGAUGUUCUCCAUUAACAGUUAAUUAGUUUUGAAACUUGAUUGCAAUUAAGACAAUUUCCUAUACUCUACAUUUAAAGAUUGUUAUACAUGUUUAUCUAUCAACAGUUAUUUAGCUUGAGGCUUGAUUGUAAUUAAAAAUAUUUAGUAAUUAUACAGUAUGAUAACUUCUAAAGGAAGAAAAUCAAAAUAUUUAUGAAGCUUUACAUCAGAGGAAUUAUCUGAUAUGAUCUAUCAGAUUAAAAGAUAACGUUUAUUUGGUCUUAAAAAUAAUGUAAAAAUAUCAAAAAUGCUAAAGAGGUUGAUGGGGAACAUUAAAUAGACCUUAGUAGUAUAUGAAAUGUUUAUACUGUAAUAUAAAACAUGUAUAUAGUCUUUGUUUUUCUUGUUAUUAAGCAAUAUAGUUGUGAUAAUUUAUUAAAUGUUAAUUGUUUUAAAGUUGGUGCUAAAUAAUUGUGAUAAUCAUUAAAGUUCAUAUUUCAAAUCAUGAUAGUUGUACUCCUGAUAACAUGCUGUUAUAUAUAUUUAAUAUAUUCAUUUACAAUGAUAGUUUAAGAGAGGAAAAUAUACUCUAUAAAGACAAGUUUUAUAAAAAAAAAGUAGUGCUUAUACUAUAGUUUUGGUGCUAACUGUUUUAUGGUGCUAUGCAUUCCGCCAGAUUCCCCUAUAAAGACAAGUUUUAUAAAGAGAGUAGUACACUACAUUUUUACUAAAGUUUUGGUGCUGUGUAUUCUUACAUUGAAAAAAUAAACAUUUACGGUUGUUAAUCAAACCAUGAUACCUGUAUAUAUUUUAUCUAUAUUUUGUUACUUUAGUGCAACAUUCCAUCUUUUAAUUUUUGCUUCAUGCGUGUUUUCAUUUUAAACGUGGAAACCAUGUGGGUUAUAUUUUUAUUUUAUAACAUAAUUUAUCUUCUAUCACAUUCCAUCAAGUUACUUUUUAUAUUGUAGUCAUUUUUAAAAACUAGAAUCAUCUAGUUAAUCAUAUUACUAUAUGUAAUCUUUUACAUGUCUCUUUUUAGAAAUCCAUUCUUGUUUAAAAAAAAAACAUUUGUUUUAGAAGCUUUAUAAAAUUUUAUAUAUAUUAGAAACAAACUCAGGGUUGUAUGCUCAAAUAUCGGUUUUAAUACAAGUUUUUAUAUACUAUACAUAUAUUGUAAUAUUUAUUUUUUAUGCUAAAAAUACUCAAUCAGUUUUUGCAAUAAUGGUGAUCUACACAAAAUGUGAUGUAUACAUAAUGUAUAUAAGUUUUUGAUAAUAAAAAUAAUUUAUUUUCUUCAA